GGACUACUGGGGUAUCUAAUCCCGUUUGCUCCCCUGGCUUUCGUGUCUCAGCGUCAGCACAGCCCCAGCUACCUGUUUUCACCAUUGGCGUUCCAAAUGAUAUCUACGCAUUUCACCGCUCCACCAUUUGUUCCGGUAGCCCCUAGCUGGCUCAAGACGUCCAGUAUACCAAGCAGUUCCACGGUUGAGCCGUGGGAUUUCACAAGGUACUUAGACAUCCGCCUACACACGCUUUAAGCCCAGUGAUUCCGCCUAACGCUUGGCACCUCUGUCUUACCGCGGCGGCUGGCAC
rnacentral:rRNA from 1 species